rnacentral:rRNA from 1 species
GGGGAAUAUUGGACAAUGGGGGCAACCCUGAUCCAGCCAUGCCGCGUGUGUGAAGAAGGCCUUCGGGUUGUAAAGCACUUUCAGUGAGGAAGAAGGCCUGCGGGUCAAUAACCGGCAGGAAGGACAUCACUCACAGAAGAAGCACCGGCUAACUCCGUGCCAGCAGCCGCGGUAAUACGGAGGGUGCGAGCGUUAAUCGGAAUUACUGGGCGUAAAGCGCGCGUAGGUGGCUUGAUAAGCCGGUUGUGAAAGCCCCGGGCUCAACCUGGGAACGGCAUCCGGAACUGUCAGGCUAGAGUGCAGGAGAGGAAGGUAGAAUUCCCGGUGUAGCGGUGAAAUGCGUAGAGAUCGGGAGGAAUACCAGUGGCGAAGGCGGCCUUCUGGACUGACACUGACACUGAGGUGCGAAAGCGUGGGUAGCAAACAG